rnacentral:rRNA from 1 species
GAUGAACGCUAGCGGCAGGCUUAAUACAUGCAAGUCGAGGGGCAGCAUGAGUAGCAAUACUUGAUGGCGACCGGCAAACGGGUGCGGAACACGUACACAACCUUCCUUCGAGCGGGGAAUAGCCCAGGGAAACUUGGAUUAAUACCCCAUAGUAUAUUGAAAAGGCAUCUUUUUGAUAUUAAAGAUUUAUCACUUGAAGAUGGGUGUGCGGCUGAUUAGGUAGUUGUCAGGGUAACGGCCUACCAAGCCUACGAUCAGUAGCUGAUGUGAGAGCAUGAGCAGCAACACGGGAACUGGGACACGGGUGCGACUACUACGGGAGGCAGCAGUAAGGAAUAUUGGUCAAUGGACGAAAGUCUGAACCAGCCAUGCCGCGUGGAGGAUGAAGGUCCUCUGGAUUGUAAACUUCUUUUAUAAGGGACGAAAAAAGGGUAUUCUUACUCACUUGACGGUACCUUAUGAAUAAGCACCGGCUAACUCCGUGCCAGCAGCCGCGGUAACAC